UACAGAGGGUGCGAGCGUUAAUCGGAAUUACUGGGCGUAAAGCGCGCGUAGGCGGCUUUGCAAGUCGGGUGUGAAAUCCCCAGGCUUAACCUGGGAACUGCAUUCGAGACUGCAUUGCUAGAGUAUGGGAGAGGGAAGUGGAAUUUCCGGUGUAGCGGUGAAAUGCGUAGAUAUCGGAAGGAACAUCAGUGGCGAAAGCGACUUCCUGGACCAAUACUGACGCUCAUGUGCGAAAGCGUGGGGAGCAACAGG
rnacentral:rRNA from 1 species